GUUUUUUUAAAGAAACCAACGAAAGAGAAUGUCUGAGGACAGCGGUGAAAGCCCUUGAUUUCUGAGACUCCUGUGAAGAGCCUCAAAGGGCUGCUGCUGGCCACCGCACAGAGCUGAAACCCUGAGAGGAACAUUUUCUUCCCACAACAAAACAUUCUGAUUCCUCAAGGUGUUUUGUUUUGUUUCGUCUUGGAAAGGCUUUAAAGACAGGACAAAAAGGGUGCUUGACUAUCACAGCCAGGCACUAAGGAGCUGUUGAAUAGGUGAGAAAAUUGAGUCCCAAGAGGUUAGAGGACU